rnacentral:rRNA from 1 species
ACGAAGGGUGCAAGCGUUACUCGGAAUUACUGGGCGUAAAGCGUGCGUAGGUGGUUGUUUAAGUCUGUCGUGAAAGCCCUGGGCUCAACCUGGGAAUUGCGAUGGAUACUGGGCGACUAGAGUGUGGUAGAGGGUGGCGGAAUUCCCGGUGUAGCAGUGAAAUGCGUAGAGAUCGGGAGGAACAUCUGUGGCGAAGGCGGCCACCUGGGCCAACACUGACACUGAGGCACGAAAGCGUGGGGAGCAAACAGGA